rnacentral:rRNA from 1 species
ACCGUAUGUCUACAAGCAGUCGGAGCGAAAGCGACGGCGUGCCUAUUGAAGAAUGAACCAACGAGUUACGUGCACUAGCGAGGUUAAGUGGAAGACACGGAGCCGAAGCGAAAGCGAGUCUUAAGAGGGCGGAUAGUUAGUGUACGUAGACCCGAAACCGCAGUGAUCUACCCAUGUCCAGGUUGAAGCGCAGGUAAAAUUGCGUGGAGGACCGAACCUGUGAGCGUUGAAAAGCUUUAGGAUGAGAUGUGGGUAGAGGUGAAAUUCCAAUCGAACGCGGAGAUAGCUGGUUCUCCCCGAAAUAGCUUUAGGGCUAGCCUCAAGUAGUAAGUAUAGGCGGUAGAGCACUGAUCGGGCUAGGGGCCAUAAAGGUUACCGAACCCUGUCAAACUCCGAAUGGUUAUACUGUAGAGCUUGGGAGUCAGACUACGAGUGAUAAGAUCCGUGGUCAAAAGGGAAACAGCCCAGACCACCAGCUAAGGUCCCCAAUGUCGUACUAAGUGGAAAAGGAUGUGGGGUCUCUAAAACAACCAGGAUGUUGGCUUAGAAGCAGCCACCAUUUAAAGAGUGCGUAAUAGCUCACUGGUCGAGAGACCCUGCGCCGAAGAUUACCGGGGCUAAAGUACGAAACCGAAGCUGUGGCUACGACUUAGGUCGUGGGGUAGGGGAGCGUUCUGUGAGGGCUGAAGUCGUUCUGUAAGGAACGGUGGACUUCACAGAAGUGAGAAUGUUGGUAUGAGUAGCGAAAAGAAUGGUGAGAAUCCAUUCCACCGAAAGCAUAAGGAUUCCUGGGCAACGAUCGUCGUCCCAGGGUAAGUCGGGACCUAAUCCGAGGCAUGGAGCGUAGGAGAUGGACAACUGGCAGAUAUUCCAGUACCGGUAAUGAUUGUUUGAGCGAUGGAGUGACACAGGAGGGCAGGCAGGCAGGAGAUUGGUUGUUCCUGUACAAGCGUGUAGGGUGGAACGUAGGCAAAUCCGCGUUCUGAGAGCCUGAGGUGUGACGUGGAGGUUCCGGAAACGGAACUGAAGCUGCUGACCCCACACUGUCGAGAAAAGCUUCUAGUUAGAGAAUUACCGCCCGUACCGUAAACCGACACAGGUAUGCGGGGAGAGAAUCCUAAGGUGCGCGGGAGAACCCUCGUUAAGGAACUCGGCAAAAUGUACCCGUAACUUCGGGAUAAGGGUAGCCGCUGUUGUGAAGUCUGAACAGACGGAGCAUGAGGCGGUCGCAGAGAAGAGGCCCAAGCGACUGUUUACCACAAACACAGGUGCCUGCUAAAGAGAAAUCUGACGUAUAGGUGCUGACACCUGCCCAGUGCCGGAAGGUUAAGGAAGGAUGUCCGGAGCAAUCCAAAGCAUUCGACCGAAGCCCCGGUGAACGGCGGCCGUAACUAUAACGGUCCUAAGGUAGCGAAAUUCCUUGUCGGGUAA